AAUAACAUCGACCUAACAUGGAACAACAUUCCCGUCUUGCCUCCCCUUGUCUAUCGUUCGUUGAUCGAAAAUACGGAAUGAUUAGCGAAUCGAAUCAGCAUCACUGGUAGUUGCUUUUUCUUCAACGGUAAACUGUCAUCUUAUACAAAACAAAUGGAACAUACAACUGAUAGUCUUUGGCAAAUUUAUCUAUCUAUUACAUAUCGUUGCAAGCAGAAGAGAAUCCGCUGCAAGUCAAUUCCAGCCUGCGAACACUAUUCGAAAAAUUGAUUCCCCUUCAGCGUCAGCGCCAGAAGAAAAUACGAAAGGUGAAUUUUGGAUUGAUAUUUUCCGGAGAAGGAGCUUGCAAGAAGCUGAUUGGAGACCACAGUUUCAGACUCAACAUAUUUCUCGGCCGUCCGACCGGUUGAGAUUCCUGAUUAUUAUAAUUAUAUCAAAUACCCGAUGGAUUUAAAAACGAUGGGGGAAGGACUGAAAAAUAGGCGAGCUUGACAGUAAAAAAUUGUCUAUAUUUUUCCAUUCAUUGCCGCUUGAUACUCAUUCUAGAUAUUACGUAGCAUGAAGAUUGUUCGUGGCAGAUAUUGCGCGUAUUUUCUGAACUGUCGAUCACCAAAAUCUGAAUAUUAUCGGUGCGGGAACACGCGUUACUAUCACACCAAGAUGAUAGAGAUCUGCCUUUGGGAUAAAUGAUGUUGGCUACUCCCAUCCGUGGCUCCAAUGGCUACACCUACCGAUUCAUGUGCAAGCUGAUGCAAAAGACCUGCGAACUUCGUGUUGUUUUGAUAUUGCCGAGGAACUGCUAAGACAUCUAAUUGUGAAAAGAUUCUUACAUACUAUGUUUGUGGAUCGAACAACAAACUCUACCGGAAUGAGUGCCACAUGAGGAAAGAGAAUUGUGGUUAGCGCAUGUUCGUAGUGCCGAUGCAGUAUUG